UUUUCUUGACUCUUCAAAGGUCUUGGAAUAAGGGGUGGGUAAGGACGGUGCCAGCCGCCGCGGUAAUACCGGCGCCUCAAGUGGUAGUCGCUUUUAUUGGGCCUAAAACGUCCGUAGCCGGUUUGGUACAUUCGUGGGUAAAUCAAGGCGCUCAACGUCUUGAAUUCUGCGAGCACGGCCAGACUUGGGACCGGGUGAGGUGUGGGGUACUCUCAGGGUAGGGGUAAAAUCCUGUCAUCCUGAGAGGACCACCUGUUGCGAAGGCGCCACACUAGAACGGAUCCGACGGUCAGGGACGAAGCCUAGGGGCACGAACCGGAUUAAAUACCCGGGUAGUCCUAGGUGUAAACGCUGUGGACUUGAUGUUGGGAGUGCUCCGAGCACCCUCAGUGUCGAAGCGAAGGUGAUAAGUCCACUGCCUGGGGAGUACGGUCGCAAGGCUGAAACUUAAAGG
rnacentral:rRNA from 1 species